AUUUUCCCUACGUUUCAGUUGGUACUGGGAAUGUUCCCUACGAUUCAGUUGGUACUGAGAAUUUUCCCUACGUUUCAGUUGGUACUGGGAAUGUUCCCUACGUUUCAGUCACUGUCUGGUAAAUAUGGUUCAGUACUGGGAAUGUUCCCUACGUUUCAGUCACUGUCUGGUGAAUAUGGUUCAGUACUGAGAAUGUUCCCUAUGUUUCAGUCACUGACUGUGAAAUAUGAUUCAGGGAAUGUGUCCUACGAUAUGUUUUUUUUUUCAGAGUGAAGUGGCCUCCAGCUUGUAUUGACGCCUGUUAUGCAAAACAAUAUUUUAUAUGGUAGGCAUUUAUGGGCUUAUAAAUUAUUUUUGAAGCAUCUGAGAAGGGCUUAUGAAGGCUCUAUGAAUGGUGUUUAAAGUCUUUAUGAAGGCUCUAUGAAUGGUCUUUAAAGCCUCUAUGAAGGCUCUAUGAAUGGUCUUUAAAGCCUCUAUGAAGGCUCUAUGAAUGGUCUUUAAAGCCUCUAUGAAGGC
ensembl:lncRNA